rnacentral:rRNA from 1 species
CGAACGACCACACAGAACAUGAACGCUGGCGGUAUGUCUAACACAUGCAAGUCGAACGGCAGCGCGCUAGUUCUCUGGGCAACUGGAGAACGGGCGGCGAGUGGCGGACGGGUGAGUAACGCGUAGGAAUCUACUCCAAAGUGGGGGACAACUCGGGGAAACUAGGGCUAAUACCGCAUAUGUUCUACGGAAUAAAGCUGGGGACUACUUCGGUAGCCUAGCGCUUUGGAAUGAGCCUGCGUCAGAUUAGCUUGUUGGUAGGGUAAUGGCCUACCAAGGCAACGAUCUGUAGCUGGUCUGAGAGGACGAUCAGCCACACUGGGACUGAGACACGGCCCAGAAUCCUACGGGAGGCAGCAGUGGGGAAUAUUGGACAAUGGGCGAAAGACUGAUCCAGCAAUACCGCGUGUGUGCAGAAAGCCUACGGGUUGUAAAGCACUUUCAGUAGAGAAGACAUGCUCACAGUUAAUACCCUUGAGAGCUGACUUACACUACGAAGAAGCACCGGCUAACUCUGUGCCCACAGGCGAGGGAAAUCAGAGGGUGCGAAGAGUUAGUCGGAAUUACUCGGCGUAAAGGCACGUAGGUGAUGUAAACGCAGGUGUAAAGCCCUGGGUUAAACUAGGAAAUGCAUCGAUCUGUGAAUCUUUAGUAUAGACAAGGAAGUGAUAUCCCAGCAACCGG